rnacentral:rRNA from 1 species
AUGAACGCUGGCGGCGUGCCUAAUACAUGCAAGUCGAGCGAACGGACGAGAAGCUUGCUUCUCUGAUGUUAGCGGCGGACGGGUGAGUAACACGUGGAUAACCUACCUAUAAGACUGGGAUAACUUCGGGAAACCGGAGCUAAUACCGGAUAAUAUUUUGAACCGCAUGGUUCAAAAGUGAAAGACGGUCUUGCUGUCACUUAUAGAUGGAUCCGCGCUGCAUUAGCUAGUUGGUAAGGUAACGGCUUACCAAGGCAACGAUGCAUAGCCGACCUGAGAGGGUGAUCGGCCACACUGGAACUGAGACACGGUCCGGACUCCUACGGGAGGCAGCAGUAGGGAAUCUUCCGCAAUGGGCGAAAGCCUGACGGAGCAACGCCGCGUGAGUGAUGAAGGUCUUCGGAUCGUAAAACUCUGUUAUUAGGGAAGAACAUAUGUGUAAGUAACUGUGCACAUCUUGACGGUACCUAAUCAGAAAGCCACGGCUAACUACGUG